UGCCUUCGAAGAAGUAUCGAAGUUUAAACCGCAUUGCGAGAGGACGAUGCCGCGUGCGGACUUGAUAUGCAUAACGCAAUCUAAAAUCGACUGAUUCGUUUUUCUGCUGCCUACCUGUUUUUCGAGAUGUCACUCAUAUUAUGCAAAACGGGUCGUAGAACUUCUGGUUCCAGUUUCAUGUUCUCCAUCAAGUUGGCGAGGCUCUUUUCCAUCAAUAAUUCGCCCUAAACAUCUCCCUUCCCACGGAAUCGCACCUGCUGAUUGAGGAAAUUCAUAUGGAAUUGCAUUUAGAGUACACAAGAGGCGCAGGAAAAGCAAUUCACAUGUAUAACUAUAUUUUAUAUGUGAAAAAUAGGUAUUAUAAAGAUAUCUAUAUCUCUAAUAUAUUAUAAAUUAGAAGUUACUGUAAAAUGUUUAUCACAUUUAAAAAACUGAUAUUAUACUAAAUAUACUUUGCACCUAAA